rnacentral:rRNA from 1 species
GACAGAGGAUGCAAGCGUUAUCCGGAAUGAUUGGGCGUAAAGCGUCUGUAGGUGGCUUUUUAAGUCCGCCGUCAAAUCCCAGGGCUCAACCCUGGACAGGCGGUGGAAACUACCAAGCUGGAGUACGGUAGGGGCAGAGGGAAUUUCCAGUGGAGCGGUGAAAUGUGUAGAUAUUGGAAAGACCACCGAUGGCGAAGGCACUCUACUGGGCCAUGACUGACACUGAGAGACGAAAGCUAGGGGGAGCAAAUGGG